GGACUCGCAAUGCGAGUGGUAGAGGAGCAUUCUUAAAACCGACGAAGCUGUACCGGAAGGAGCAGUGGAGGGAUAAGAAGAGAGAAUGCCGGAAUGAGUAGCGAGAGAAAGGUGGGAAUCCUUUCGGCCGAAUAUCUAAGGUUUCCAGAGUAAAGCUGAUCUGCUCUGGGUAAGUCGGGGCCUAAGCACAGGUCGCAAGACGUAAGCGAUGGAUAACAGGUUUAGAUUCCUGUACCACGCAUUAUCAGAACUGUAGGGACGCAUGUGGAAAGCACGGGCCGGGAAUGGAAAGACCGGUACAAGCGGGGUAGGUGUACAAUAGGCAAAUCCGUUGUAUAAUCCGAAGACGUGAUGUGGAGCGAAAUAAAGUAGUGAAGCGUGUGAGCCAUGUGCCGAGAAAAGCUGCUAUUGUGUAAUGCGUGCCCGUACCGUAAACCGACACAGGUGGAUGAGGAGAGAAUCCUAAGGCCGGCGGAAGAAGCAUUGUUAAGGAAUUCGGCAAAAUGACCCCGUAACUUCGGGAGAAGGGGUGCCUGCGAGAGCAGGCCGCAGAGAAUAGGCUCAAGCAACUGUUUAGCAAAAACACAGGUCUAUGCGAAACCGAAAGGUGAAGUAUAUGGGCUGACGCCUGCCCGGUGCUGGAAGGUUAAGAGGAGAGGUUAGCUUCGGCGAAGCUUUGAAUUUAAGCCCCAGUAAACGGCGGCCGUAACUAUAACGGUCCUAAGGUAGCGAAAUUCCUUGUCGGGUAAGUUCCGACCCGCACGAAAGGCGUAAUGAUUUGAGCACUGUCUCGACAAUGCAUCCGGUGAAAUUGAAGUACCAGUGAAGAUGCUGGUUACCCGCGCCAGGACGGAAAGACCCCAUGGAGCUUUACUCCAGUUUGAUACUGGGAUUCGGUACUGCAUGUACAGGAUAGGUGGGAGACGAAGAAGGAUGGACGCCAGUCUGUCCGGAGUCGCUGUUGGGAUACCACCCCUGUAGUACUGGGUUUCUGACCAGUUGCCAUGAACUGGCAAUGGGACAAUGUCAGGCGGGGAGUUUGACUGGGGCGGUCGCCUCCGAAAGGGUAUCAGAGGCGCUCAAAGGUUCCCUCAGAAUGGUUGGAAACCAUUUGAAGAGUGCAAAGGCAGAAGGGAGCUUGACUGCGACACCGACGGGUGGAGCAGGUACGAAAGUAGGACUUAGUGAUCCGGUGGUAUAAAGUGGGAUUGCCAUCGCUCAACGGAUAAAAGCUACCCUGGGGAUAACAGGCUUAUCACUCCCAAGAGUUCACAUCGACGGAGUGGUUUGGCACCUCGAUGUCGGCUCAUCGCAUCCUGGGGCUGUAGCAGGUCCCAAGGGUUGGGCUGUUCGCCCAUUAAAGCGGUACGCGAGCUGGGUUCAGAACGUCGUGAGACAGUUCGGUCCCUAUCCGGCGCGGGCGGAGGAUAUUUGAGAGGAGCUGUCCUUAGUACGAGAAGACCGGGAUGGACGGACCACUGGUGUAUCUGUUGUCGACCAACGGCAUGGCAGAGUAGCCAAGUCUGGAAGGGAUAAACGCUGAAGGCAUCUAAGCGUGAAGCCCCCCUCAAGAUGAGAUAUCCCUCCUUCGGGAGUAAGACCCCUUGAAGACUACAAGGUAGAUAGGGCAGAGGUGGAAGCAUGGCAACAUGUGGAGCUGACUGUUACUAAUAGGUCGAGGGC
rnacentral:rRNA from 1 species